AGAGGGCGGCGGAGCUCAAGGCGGAGUUCUUCAAACUUCUUCAAGGCACCCUCUCUCUCCCCAUCGAUCUCCCCGGCACCGCUUACCGCCGCGGACUUCAGGCAAACUCUCUCACCUUCUCCCUCUGCCGCUGUCCUCGUCGUCGUCCUCUUCCGGCCACUCUGAUGGCUUCACUCUGCAGGGGAGGAAGAGGAUCACCAGCUUGUUAAGGGAACUGAUUGAGGAGAGGAGGAGGAGCCCUUCCGCUCCGAAGGGCGGCGGCGACAUACUCAACCUGCUUCUCCAGGAGGAAGAAGAAGGAGAAGAAGAGCAAGAGGUCCACCGGAAGAGGCCCAAGCUCACCGACGACCAGAUGAUUGAUCUGCUCGUCUCCAUCAUGUAUACCGGCUUCGAGACCGUCUCCUCGGCGGCGACGAUGACCGUCAAGUAUCUGCACGACCACCCCUCCGCCCUCCAAGAACUUCGGGUAACAUCUCUGCUCCUCUCCUUCACCUACCCACUUAAUGAC
rnacentral:lncRNA from 1 species